rnacentral:rRNA from 1 species
UACGAAGGGGGCUAGCGUUGCUCGGAAUCACUGGGCGUAAAGGGUGCGUAGGCGGGUCUUUAAGUCAGGGGUGAAAUCCUGGAGCUCAACUCCAGAACUGCCUUUGAUACUGAAGAUCUUGAGUUCGGGAGAGGUGAGUGGAACUGCGAGUGUAGAGGUGAAAUUCGUAGAUAUUCGCAAGAACACCAGUGGCGAAGGCGGCUCACUGGCCCGAUACUGACGCUGAGGCACGAAAGCGUUGGGAGCAAACAGG